rnacentral:rRNA from 1 species
UGGGGGUGAAAGGCCAAUCAAACCGGGAGAUAGCUGGUUCUCCCCGAAAGCUAUUUAGGUAGCGCCUCGUGAAUUCAUCUCCGGGGGUAGAGCACUGUUUCGGCAAGGGGGUCAUCCCGACUUACCAACCCGAUGCAAACUGCGAAUACCGGAGAAUGUUAUCACGGGAGACACACGGCGGGUGCUAACGUCCGUCGUGAAGAGGGAAACAACCCAGACCGCCAGCUAAGGUCCCAAAGUCAUGGUUAAGUGGGAAACGAUGUGGGAAGGCCCAGACAGCCAGGAUGUUGGCUUAGAAGCAGCCAUCAUUUAAAGAAAGCGUAAUAGCUCACUGGUCGAGUCGGCCUGCGCGGAAGAUGUAACGGGGCUAAACCAUGCACCGAAGCUGCGGCAGCGACACUAUGUGUUGUUGGGUAGGGGAGCGUUCUGUAAGCCUGUGAAGGUGUACUGUGAGGUAUGCUGGAGGUAUCAGAAGUGCGAAUGCUGACAUAAGUAACGAUAAAGCGGGUGAAAAGCCCGCUCGCCGGAAGACCAAGGGUUCCUGUCCAACGUUAAUCGGGGCAGGGUGAGUCGACCCCUAAGGCGAGGCCGAAAGGCGUAGUCGAUGGGAAACAGGUUAAUAUUCCUGUACUUGGUGUUACUGCGAAGGGGGGACGGAGAAGGCUAUGUUGGCCGGGCGACGGUUGUCCCGGUUUAAGCGUGUAGGCUGGUUUUCCAGGCAAAUCCGGAAAAUCAAGGCUGAGGCGUGAUGACGAGGCACUACGGUGCUGAAGCGACAAAUGCCCUGCUUCCAGGAAAAGCCUCUAAGCAUCAGGUAACAUCAAAUCGUACCCCAAACCGACACAGGUGGUCAGGUAGAGAAUACCAAGGCGCUUGAGAGAACUCGGGUGAAGGAACUAGGCAAAAUGGUGCCGUAACUUCGGGAGAAGGCACGCUGAUAUGUAGGUGAAGCGACUUGCUCGUGGAGCUGAAAUCAGUCGAAGAUACCAGCUGGCUGCAACUGUUUAUUAAAAACACAGCACUGUGCAAACACGAAAGUGGACGUAUACGGUGUGACGCCUGCCCGGUGCCGGAAGGUUAAUUGAUGGGGUUAGCGGUAACGCGAAGCUCUUGAUCGAAGCCCCGGUAAACGGCGGCCGUAACUAUAACGGUCCUAAGGUAGCGAAAUUCCUUGUCGGGUAAGUUCCGACCUGCACGAAUGGCGUAAUGAUGGCCAGGCUGUCUCCACCCGAGACUCAGUGAAAUUGAACUCGCUGUGAAGAUGCAGUGUACCCGCGGCAAGACGGAAAGACCCCGUGAACCUUUACUAUAGCUUGACACUGAACAUUGAGCCUUGAUGUGUAGGAUAGGUGGGAGGCUUUGAAGUGUGGACGCCAGUCUGCAUGGAGCCGACCUUGAAAUACCACCCUUUAAUGUUUGAUGUUCUAACGUGGGCCCCUUACCGGGGUUGCGGACAGUGUCUGGUGGGUAGUUUGACUGGGGCGGUCUCCUCCUAAAGAGUAACGGAGGAGCACGAAGGUUGGCUAAUCCUGGUCGGACAUCAGGAGGUUAGUGCAAUGGCAUAAGCCAGCUUGACUGCGAGCGUGACGGCGCGAGCAGGUGCGAAAGCAGGUCAUAGUGAUCCGGUGGUUCUGAAUGGAAGGGCCAUCGCUCAACGGAUAAAAGGUACUCCGGGGAUAACAGGCUGAUACCGCCCAAGAGUUCAUAUCGACGGCGGUGUUUGGCACCUCGAUGUCGGCUCAUCACAUCCUGGGGCUGAAGUAGGUCCCAAGGGUAUGGCUGUUCGCCAUUUAAAGUGGUACGCGAGCUGGGUUUAGAACGUCGUGAGACAGUUCGGUCCCUAUCUGCCGUGGGCGCUGGAGAACUGAGGGGGGCUGCUCCUAGUACGAGAGGACCGGAGUGGACGCAUCACUGGUGUUCGGGUUGUCAUGCCAAUGGCACUGCCCGGUAGCUAAAUGCGGAAGAGAUAAGUGCUGAAAGCAUCUAAGCACGAAACUUGCCCCGAGAUGAGUUCUCCCUGACUCCUUGAGAGUCCUGAAGGAACGUUGAAGACGACGACGUUGAUAGGCCGGGUGUGUAAGCGCAGCGAUGCGUUGAGCUAACCGGUACUAAUGAACCGUGAGGCUUAACCUUACAACGCCGAAG